CAUGUAAGGCCAACCUCUUCAAAAAAAAAAAAAAUGGCAAUUUUUCUUUGAAUUUAAGUCUUAAAGGAUAACCAUGUGUUCUAAUCUUUUCUUCAAACCCAGUAGACAGGAUAUCCUAAUGCAGUGUUCUACCAGCACCAAGAAAAUAGAAAAUUAAAUCAACAUUUGCAUUUCUAAUUUAUAAUAAUUUGUUUGAAGGCCACAAAACGUGUAGAUGGUAGUAGUAAUAACAUAAUUUUAGGGGCAUGAUAUGUUCACAUAUAUGAUUUGGAUGUAGAUUACCUCAUCCUAGUUCCUAAGCAGGAUCAUGCGUGGUUUUCAGUAAUUGUACUUCACUUGAAUAUAGAAAGAAGGGCACAGCUCGAACUGCUAUGUAUCUAAGGCUUGAGUUAGGUGAUCGUUUUUCAUGCAACAGAUAGGCUAGCCUUCAAUAGCUUCCUCCAAGCCAUCCCAACUCUGCUUAUUUCAAAGACAUGUUCAUCCUUUAUAUCUUCUAUGCAGUAACUGAUGAUGGUUCUUUUCUACGAAUAAUUCUCUGAUUUCCAUCAAUAUCAAUACACUCCUUUCACCUGAUCCAGGUUUGAAUAGUUUAUUCUAUGUCUCUUAUCCAAAUCAGAAUAUGUGCAGGGCCUUGGCAGGUGAUGCUUAAAAAAGCAGAUGGCUCAUACUCUUGUGUAGCAGAGAGUGUGACGCGCUUCACACUUGGUGAGUCUGCCACUUGGGAGGAAGAAGAUGUUGAACUUGAAACAUCUUCUGAUUGGCGCAGUUGAGUUAGCAGCAGCAAGCAGAGAAGCACACAUCAGACGCUUAUUGAAAGUCAAGCAGAGAAGUUUCACGCGAGUUUUCGGUGUUGGAGAUUGAUUUGUUCUUUCUUUCAUCUUUUCCUACUCUAUAUAUUUUAUACCCACUUCAAUCCUAGUUUCCUUUCAUAAAUUUCAUUUAUGUAUAUCUUUUGAUAAAGUGAGUAAGGCACAUAGACGCGGCUAUUGUAAAGAACGCACAGGAACUUUGGUCAUGUUCUAUUCUCUGCUUAGUUGCAGAAUGCAAUGCUCAACUGAGCCCAUUACUGUUUAACCCUUUGGUUUGGAAGGAAAUGCUCCUAAUUUGAUAGGAGCACAUAAAAUAUUGCAAGAAUUAUGAGAUUCAUCAUGCUUUGGCCA